CUCGAAGACGAUCAGAUACCGUCCU
rnacentral:ncRNA from 3 species